rnacentral:rRNA from 1 species
AUUGAACGCUGGCGGCAUGCUUUACACAUGCAAGUCGAACGAGUGGCGGACGGGUGAGUAAUGUCUGGGAACGUGCCUGAUAGCGGGGGAUAACUACUGGAAACGGUGGCUAAUCCCGCAUACCAUCGGAUCUGCCCAGAUGGGAUUAGCUAGUUGGUGGGGUAAAGGCUCACCUAGGCGACGAUCCCUAGCUGGUUUGAGAGGAUGACCAGCCACAAUGGAACUGAGACACGGUCCAGACUCCUACGGGAGGCAGCAGUGGGGAAUAUUGCACAAUGGGCGCAAGCCUGAUGCAGCCAUGCCGCUUGUAUGAAGAAGGCCUUCGGGUUGUAAAGUACUUUCAGCGGGGAGGCGUUACCCGCAGAAGAAGCACCGGCUAACGCCGUGCCAGCAGCCGCGGUAAUAC